AGUGAACGCUGGCGGUAGGCCUAACACAUGCAAGUCGAACGGCAGCACAGUAGGAGCUUGCUCUUACGGGUGGCGAGUGGCGGACGGGUGAGGAAUACAUCGGAAUCUACUUUUUCGUGGGGGAUAACGUAGGGAAACUUACGCUAAUACCGCAUACGACCUACGGGUGAAAGCAGGGGAUCUUCGGACCUUGCGCGAUUGAAUGAGCCGAUGUCGGAUUAGCUAGUUGGCGGGGUAAAGGCCCACCAAGGCGACGAUCCGUAGCUGGUCUGAGAGGAUGAUCAGCCACACUGGAACUGAGACACGGUCCAGACUCCUACGGGAGGCAGCAGUGGGGAAUAUUGGACAAUGCGCGCAAGCCUGAUCCAGCCAUACCGCGUGGGUGAAGAAGGCCUUCGGGUUGUAAAGCCCUUUUGUUGGGAAAGAAAAGCAGCAGGUUAAUACCCCGCUGUUCUGACGGUACCCAAAGAAUAAGCACCGGCUAACUUCGUG
rnacentral:rRNA from 1 species